rnacentral:lncRNA from 1 species
UCCAGCUGGGUGUAUUCUGUCAUAUACACAAGUUGCCUUUGGCUCUGUUGUUCCAUCAGUUGUGUCUGAAUCAAAGACUCCCUUCUUUUUAUUCCUUCUAUUAACAGCCUUAAAACUCACCUUCCCCAAGAAGAAGCCUUCUUUGAUUAAUUCAGUUCAUUUUUGUAUGAGGAUUUUCCAGAUAUGUUAAUUUUCACUUACCAUUGUUUUUCCCCCAUGAGUUCCUGUAGGAUUACAGCCAUACACCAAGUAAUGGUGUCUGUCAAUAAUGGACCACAUAUAUGAUGGUGGUCUCAUAAGAUUAUGAUGCUGUAUUUUACUAUACCUUUUCUAUGUUUAGAUAUGUUUAGAUACACAAAUAACCUACCAUCAUGUUACAAUUGUCUGCAAUAUUCAGUACAGCAUCAUGCUGUACAGGUUUGUAGCCUAGGAGCAAUAGGCAGCUAUAGCCAGGAGACCAGGGUCACAUGGCUGCCUGUGGACCAAGGUCAGGGUGGAAAACAUCAUCAAUGGUGUCCCAAGUUAAA